UGGAUCCCAAGUGCCUGGUAAUGGAGCUAAUCAAAAUGAUACGAACAAUGGUGAUCACAUAGCGGUCAAUGAAGGAACCUCUGAAAAUUUAAGAAUGCGCUUGAGUCAUAUAAGGCAACUAGCACGGUCAAAUAGGUCGCAAAUGCCUAAUAGUGGAGUUAACCAAAAUGCUGGGAAUAAUGAAGAUCACAUAGUACUCAAUGAAGGAACCUCUGAAAAUGUCAUUCCUCAAAAUAGCAUGACCUAUAAUAACAGUGUUGUCCAAGUACGUCUUAGAGCUAGAGGUCGCAGAUCUCAUAAUUGUGCUCGGAAUUUUCAUGAGAACAUUGGAAUCACAAAAUAUCAU